rnacentral:lncRNA from 1 species
GAGGCAUAUGGAAGUUCCCAAGCUAGGGGUCAAAUCGGAGCUGUAGCUGCCGGCCUACACCACAGUCACAGCAACGCCAGACCCAAGCUGCAUCUGCGACCUACACCACAGCUCAUGGCAAUGCCAGAUCCUUAACCCACUGAGCGGGGCCACGAAUCGCACCUGCAUCCUCAUGGAUGCUAGUCAGAUUGUUUUCGCUAAGCCACGACAGAAAUUCCAAUCUGGGAACAAUCUUAAAAGGUCAUCAUGCCCCUGUAUGUUUCAAAUGGUUGUAGCACAUGGAGUCAUGUUUUUAAUCACACUAAGGCAUAUCCAUAUCCCAUAUCCAUAUCUAUAGAUAUCCACAAUACAUACAUAUAUGCCUUAGUGUGAUUAAAAACUACUGUUUUUAUAUAUAACGUUAUAUAUUUUAGUGUCAUUAGAAACUUAGUGAUAUAUAGUGAGUUCCCGUGUGGGUCAGUAGGUUCAGCAUCCGGCAUUGCCACUGCCGUGGCUCCAGUUGCUGCUGUGAUGUGGGUUUGAUUCCUGACCUGGCAACUUCUGUAUGCCUCACAUGCAGCCAAAAAAGACCUCUUGAUAUAUAUCGACACAGAUAUAACACAUAUACAUAACAUACACAUAAUUAAACAGGAGGUGGGGAACUUGGAGGCCCACCACAUGUAUCUCUGUCUCUCUUUCUUACAUCCAUCCCUGAAAAACUUGUGAGACAUCUCUAGUUUAAAAGCCACUGAUCUAGUCAUUCACUCAACGAAUAUUCAUUGUGGGUCCAAAAUGUUCCAGGAACUGCUAGGGGCUGGGGAUGCGCGUGGUGAACAAGACUGACAAGGUCUCUGGUCUCAUGGGGCUUAUGUUCCAGUGGGGAAAGAUAGGAAAGGCACAAAUGAAUGAGGAAUCAACAUAAACGCAGACGGUGAUGGAAGUUAUGAAGACAAUAAAACCUCUACCAAGGGAUAAGGUGACAGGGAAAGAGGAGAGAGGGACAUCAAGCACGUGUGUCAACAAGAGUUAGGGGAGCCAGGGAGGGGUCUCCAAGGAGAUGAUACCGGAGCCAAAUACUGGGUGUCAAGCAUAAUCCAGCCAAGCAAAAUGCUGAGCAAUCCAAACCUUUAGGGUUGCUGAUGGGAACUCCAAAAAGCAAAGGAGGACUGACUGGCCCCAAGGCCACCCUUUUAGUUACCGGUGAAGCGUGGACCAGAAUAGAGGUCUCCUGUCCCUCCACACUGACCAGUGGGAUACAACAUUCUCUUUCCUACUCUCUGCAGUUUAGCAGACUCCUGUCUUCCUGAGCAAUCUCCUUAAAAACUGUCUUCCCCAUCAUCCUCUUUAAUGUAUCACCUUACUUCUAUUUUCUCUGUAAAUCACCCAUAUAAUCAAUUUGUAUCUCUAUAUACUAAUAAUAGUACACUAUAUAUACUAAAAAAUAACCAUGGUAAAUUGUGUGCAUGGGUGUGCAUGUAAUUUUCUAAGCAAAAGUAAAACCCAAUCUAUUGGAAAAGAAAUGCAACUAGACUUCCUUUAUCAUAGUGUUUUUAAAAAGAAAAGCCAUGGUUCAUAGCAUAACAUCAAGCAUUUCCACCUAAAAAAAAAAAAAAAAAAUCUCAGAAGAAAAGCUACAGACUUCAUAAGUUACUAGGAAAAAUGCCACCAUCCUUCUGGCUCUGAGCCAACAGACAAUGAAGCUGAGUGUGUCUACCCUUUGAAACAAAAUAAACGACAACUACCACCAAAUGCCCUUUUGGGCUUCCUGCUAGUUAUAUCUUGUUUUGUGAAAGAAAAUGCCCUGGGCUGGCCUGGAGCCUCAGAUCCACAGACUCCCAAGAUUCUAGGAGUCGUGAAGAUGCAAUUUGAAGAGCUGUGUCCUAACAAAAUCAAGAGAUAGGGAGGGAGGAGAGUGUGCUAUCAAAGAAAUUCUCUAGAUUGAAUAUUUGGUCGGGUAAAUUUUCCUUUGUUGGUUUGGAGCAGAUCCUGUGCAUUUCUCUUUUCCAGUUCUAGUAAAUCCUUAAACAGAUCUGAGUUUUAAGGGCUUAGGGCUGCCCUUGGGAAAUAGGUGAUUAUACUCUCUGUUUAGAGUUUUAGUGAUAAGGGGCAGAGGAGAGGCUGUGGGUUGAAUACUCCUCCUCCAGGCCAAUUUCUCAGUGACUCUCUUUUGCAGUUCCCCUUUAAAGCAGAAACAUGUUUAAAAAAUGAAGUGGUGACAAUAUAAAAUCCCAUCCCUUCAUUUGCAUGUUUCAAUUGUUUUAUAUACAUACAAACGAGAGACAAACAGAUGGAGAGCACGAUGGAUAUAGCUAAAACACCAGUCAAUUCCAGAGGAAGGAAGGCUCUGUGAGAAUAUUUUCCUUUUCGUUUUACAUUUUAUAUUUCAUGUAAUUAUUUCACAGGGGGAUUAGAUUGGAAAACUUCUUUACCCACAGAUAUGCUGCCAAAUGUAGUUGGGAGGACCUAGGGGGAAAAAAAAAAUCAGUGCUUCCCCCCCAAAGUAAACACAAUAAAUCAAACUCUACAACAGUGUUUCUCAUACUGGAACCCUUAAACCCCAUCCAAAAGGGUCAGAUAUGGAGAGAUUUUGUUCAUUACCUCUAGGAAGGAUGCUAAGCAGUUAAUAAGGCUGUGCAUUUGCCCUCUGCCACAGCCCUUUUCCUGAGAUUACUUCAGACCCUCUUACUAGUGCUUCCUUCAAAAAAACAAAAUAAAACAUUCUCACCCUUGUCAUCUCUCCUUCUUUCUACUCUUCCUAACAGAUAUAUUUUCAACCUUCAAUAUAUAUUGAAUAUUGAAUAUAUAUUGAAGGUUGAAAAACAAAAGUAACAUAUCAGGGAACUUACUCCAAGUGUAUUAGUGCAAACGGGACUUCAGAGGUGAGCCAACCACAGACCAAGCGCCCCUCCCUCACUCUCCUUCCAAGACGGAAAGUAACUACCAGGGAAGUAAAAGGACUUGACUAAAUUGCUACUAGCUGGUAGCAGUGGGAGCACUGGGACCUUCAACACCUAAUUCUGCAGCCACUACUUUCCAUUAUCACUAAGAAGAUAAGAAGUAUAAUAUAGUUAUCAUUAUAUCACUGUCUUUGCUUAUUAUUUGUUGCAAAGCCUAAGAUGGGAAAAAAUGAGGCCCUUAGAGUCAUUUGCUAGCAAAAACAAAAAUAGCGAUCAACAGACGGAGAAACUCUGCUCUUCAAGACAGAAUCUGCUUAUGUCCCACCUGGAUGCCACACUGGCUAGGAGAGUCUUCUGUGACCUAGGAGAUCAAAGGCAAUUACAUUGCCCAUAUAUAUUUGCUAGCUGUUUGACCCUCCCAAGGGCAGCAUAGCAGUACAAGGGGAGUGACAUCUUUAUGAGGUUAACCCUUUUCUAUUUUAAGGGUAGACUAUCGAAGGCAGAUGUGUUCCCUGGAGCAGAACGAGAAUGCUGGAAAUUCGGGAGUUAGGAGGAAGGACACCACCAGACCAUCAACCAGGAGCGACAAAAUAAAUUGCUGUUCAGAGGAAGAGUGAGCUAGCGAAACCUACAAGAAUGUUGAUGCCCAUGAAGUGAAUUAUAAUACAGAGAGAAGGAACAAAAGACAAAGCAAGGACGCUAAUGUCUGUUAAGGUCUAAGAGAGCUUCUUAAAGCCCAUCCUCAGAAGUAGCACAACACCAUUUCUGUCACAGACUCUUGGUUAAAACAAGUCACAGGACUCUUCAAGGUUCAAGGGGAGAAAGAGCAUCCAUUUUUCAAUUCGAGGAGUAGUAAAGUCACAUUGCAAAGGGGCAAGUGGGCUUGACAGAAUCAUGGUGAUCAUUUAAAAAACAACUUACCCUAGGCUCUAAACUCCACGUUCCUUCUGCGAUCAAGAUUUAAAAUAGAACAUAUAUGUAUGACUGAGUCGAUUUGCUGUACAGCAGAAAUUGACACAUUGUAAACCAACUAUACUCUCGUAUUUUUCUUUUAAAAAAAAAAAACUUUAAAAUAAGUCCUGCAUUGCCCUUAACUGUUCUUUUCAUAGAUUAAUUGAAAAGACUACGUUUUAUAACCUGGGAUUGGUGUCAGAAAACUUGGGUUCUAGUUCUACCUCUACUGCUAUGGGAACUCAAAAUAUUUUCUUUUAAAUGGGCUUUAAUAUUUCUUCACCUAUGAGAAAGGGGUUUGGUCUGUUUUCUCCCUAAGGGCUCAUAAGAUGUACAAAUUGAUAGAAUAAUGUCUAUUUUUAGAUCAAUACCAACUAGCUCUCUUGGGGAUGGGCAGGAUGGAGAGGUGAGAGGGCUAAAUGAGAUGGCUAUUUUGCCUACUACUCCCUUUCAUUGCCUUGGGUUCAAAAUUUGGGAUGCCGUGAGCCAAGGAAACUCAUUCCCGUGGGCAGCUGAAAUCCUCUAUCAUCUGGGUGCUGCUCUGACCAUUUCCACGUAUUAUAUGCCAAGCCAAGCUGGCCUGGGUCCUCCCACACUCUACUGAGUACGAGAGUACAAGUCCUUGCUUUAAGGGACCUGGUUAGAAAAGGCAAUUCCCAUGCAACACACACCCAUGCCAGGGAAGCAAAAAGCAGAGGUAAGGAGGCUCCCGAGCUGGUCUCUUCCUGAGGGAGCUCAGAUCUCUCUCAGAAAGAUAUAGUUGCCUGGUCUAUGGAAGAUCAGGUUCCCAAGGAGAAAACUAAUGUUUAAUUUAGCACAAAGACAGCUCAGAAUCUCUCUCCCGGGGACUAAGCCUGCAAACAGAUCCACAUGCAAAGAAUAUAAGUGAGAAAAGGAAGCUCUC